AAAUCGCCAAACAGAUGACGCUGUCGUCAUCUUGCAAAUACAAUUUAUACACAUAUAACCACAAAUCAUGAAAAAUUAUUACAAGUAUCUAUCAUCACUUUACAAAACAGAUGGGCAAUAAUGGCAUGAUAAAGCAAAUUAUAAAUGAUAAAAUUACAAUUCACCCCAUAAUUGAUGGCAGAAUGUAUUAAACAGAAAGAGAAAAGACUACAUCGUGGAUGGAAUCAAAACGAGGAUGCUGCGCGCCUACUUUCUCUUCGAUUUCCCCUUCGGCCGGCAAUGAACCACAGAGCAAUCGUUAUCAGACGAUCAAUCCAGUAACAGAAUGCUGCAGCCUGAAGAAGUGUAAGUACGCGAAAUCGCAAGUGGAGACGGAAUUUUGCAACACACAGAGAUUGCUCGACAGGAUUCGACACUUGAAGAAAAGUGUUCAGGAGCUAGAAUGUGCUCAGCAACAAAUUAGACCAAGAGUUACUGAGAGGAAAGAUGCUCCUUGUCAAACGCAAGAUUCAUUACGAUCGGAUGUAAAUGAUUUUCGAGAAAUCUUAGACAGUUGUAUCAAAGAAAUGACGAAGCUGAAAAGAUUUUUCGACGACGAAAAUUUCUGGUGGAAGAUAUUCAAGAAACGAAAUUUCAACUGUUGCGAACAGAAAUUACCACAUUUGCAUGGUUACUUAGAUGGAACUAUGGUUACUUUGAAGAUAUUGGAGGAAAAGAUCGAAGCGAAAGAUGGUUUCGCUACUUCAACACCGAUAAAAUCAGGUUCUUCGUCACAUUCGGCUAAACCACCCGCUCAGAAAAGAAAGUAUAGGGAGCAAGACGGAGAUGAGGUUGAGGGACGUCCUAGAAAAUAUGUAGAUGCGUCCGCGAAUACUGAAAAGAUUGACGACUCUUACCAAGAUAGAAAUCCCGUCAUUUGUAAUAAACAUCAAGACAAUCCAGGAAGUUUGAAAGCAAAGAAAGAGGAUGCAGAGGUCUAUCAAGAGCAACAUGAUUCAGGGGAACCACAAAAGUCAAAAGAUAAUCACGUGGUUGAUACUACAAUGAGAUUAUCUAGAAAUUGGUAUACUAAGAAUACCAUGGAUGUUGAAAAUAUGGAGAGACCAUCGGUUACAUUUAACAGCGAGAAUAUGGCGAAAAGAUCAAUUAUUGCUGCUGAUAUCAGCACAUCGAUGGAUAUACUACCGAACGCGCAACAUAGGACUAUAAGACCUUCGAUUAAAAACUUAAAGAACGUAAUGGAAAGAAACUUUUCAGUCAGAAGUUCCUUUACGAAAGAGCAGAAAGGAAAGAUUAAGAAACAACAAGGAAACCAUUAACGUCAAAGACGUAUAUGAAAGUCGACGUUCGCAUGUUUAAAUGGCGCCACCCUUUUAAAUCAGACGAACACUCGUUUUACUUUGAUGGACAAAUUUUAGUCUGUCGUUUUUUCCAUUUCUCCUUUAUCGCAACAUGCUGCUGUUUUUAACUACCCGUCUCAUUGGAUAAUUUGUGCCGCAAGCUUUUCGAAAGCCUCCGAAGCUUACGAAAAAUAUGGAGGAAAAUGCGAAUGAGGUUAAUGAAGGAUGAGGUUAGAGUAUCGAUGUUUCUUACGAAAUUUGAUACAUUCAACUAAUGGGGCAGUAUUAAUUAAUGAUAAAUAUAAAGCCAUAUUACCGAAAGCUCUUCCCGGUUAUUUUUUUGAGUAUUCAAUUAAUGUUUCACUGUAAUGUUUAAAGGAUCAUGACAGAGUCAUCAUAAUAGCAAGGUGCUCAGCUCCUUCGCACGAUGAAGACUUGAAAAUAGGCACCAAAACCAUGCUGAUCUUACGCGAAUGGGCGAUACUGCGAAUUCCCUAUUCGACUUCGAUUAGUUCCUGCGAAAGCACAUAUUCUGCUGAAGCUGAUAACCCCUAAAAAAAUUAAAAUAUUCAACGAUAUUGAAAAAAUCAAAGAUUAUAACAACUCACCAGAUUGAAAAUUCUAUAGACAUAUCGAUAUUAAAAUUCGUGAGAAAUCUUGAAACGCGUCAAAACUUCAUGGAGUGUCCAAGAUCAAUCUUGAAGUGAAAGAAACAAGAUUAACACUGUGGCAAAGGGAGAAAAUGGGAAGAUAUGCAUAAAGAAUCUGUGGUCGACAUCGGAACAGGGAAUAAAAAAGGGAUAUUGAAGAUGAAUAACAACGAGCACGAACCGGCUACAUUGAAUGAAAUAAAUAACUAUCAAUCGAUGCCUUCCGGUGCUCCCAAGAACAUAGAACAAUUGUCGAACGUAGAAUCAGUAGGGUGUUAUAUGGAUCGACGUCGUAAGAAUGUGAGAGAUUUUAGGACGAAAUUUAGGCCGCCGUUUUUCCGACGAGGGUGCUCGAAACAUUGUACAGGAUACAGAAAGGAUUUGGACACCUCUAGAUUUAGACUUCGAUAGCCCUAAUGGUAGUUCUAGUACUAAUUGUUAGGAAUUUAGAAAAGUUGUAAGCUGAACUAAGCGUUGCUUCAGUUUCGAAUUGACAGUGUGCAAAUCGGUAAAAAAGAAUAAUUUGGCGCACAGGAUAAAAAGAAGCAAGAGGAAGUUCCAGCAAUUUUCAAAUCAAGUAAAA